GUCAUCAAAGUAGAGUGCCAAAUG
rnacentral:siRNA from 1 species